UCCGGGGCGGCGGCCGAGGCAGCCUUUCUUAACCGAGACGGAGCUCCUUUUUCGGCCUAAAACGCGCCUUUU